CGGAGGAUGGUAGGAUUGAUCGAGCGUGUUGCCGCCAGUGUUCCUAAAGAAAAGAAAAAAAAAAGAAAAAAACAAAAAAAAAGAAUGUUGACACAACGAAUUAUCGACACUCUUGAUCGAAUUUUUAUGACGAUUUAUUAUUAGUUUCUUCUUCUUCUUCUUCUUCUUCUUCUUCUUCUUCUUCUUCUCGUUCGUUGUUUUUGACAUCGAUUAUCCGAGUUUGUGUUCACGAAUUUUUCUUGCGCGCCCGACAAACUGCUGGAUUGACUCUCUCUAUCUUCUUCUUCUUCGAAGAAAGAAUAUACACGCGCACAUACAUAUAUAAUACAUGCAUAUAUAUACAUAUACACGUACAGUUUUUUUUACAAACGACUAUUCGUUUAGUAUUCGGUUACUAAACGGGAGAGGAAGGAGGAGGGAUUCUAUGAAACGCGAUUUCAUUGUACAUAUUUGCGAAUAAUAGAAUAUAAUAAUAAUAAUAAUAAUAAUAAUAAUAAUUAUUAUUAUUAUGCCGUUUGUUAUAAGGUUUGUGGAUGGAAAACCUAUUUGAUACUAUUACUACUACUACUGCUAUUACUACUACCACCACUAUUAAUUUUAUAUUACAUAUGUAUACGCAAUAUUAGCACACUAGUCAGUCACCUCUUAAGCGGUAUCCCUUCUCGAGCGUCGAAUGGACGUCCGGUUUUACGAUAUAAGUUCCAUUAGAAUCCUCUGAACUCAACCACCAUUCUUGUUUCGACGUUUAACGACGCUAUAAACGGUGAGAAUCCUCGCCUCUAUGUAUUGUCACAAUCAUUCUAAACUUGGUUAAACAUCCGUCUCCGUAAUGUCGUCACGACCGGCUUUUUGUUGCAGUUUUUUUCGAGUAGAUCGAUAACCGCGUCUCGCGACUCUGUUGGACGAGUUUUCUUUCUUUCUUUUUUUUUUUUUUUUUUGAAAGAAGAAGAAGAAAGAAAAGAAAAAAAGGAAAUUAAUUUAUACGAAACAUCAUAUUAUAAUAUAUUUAUAUACAACGAAUUCCAUUCCAGAUUUAAUCAUCAUUUCUCUUUUUU